GGAGGAAAGAGACUCAUAAUAUUUUAAUGCUUUAAACUUGGUGUCGGGUAUUUUUUUCGCUACUCUAAGAUUCAUGCCACUUAAUUGGGCUAGGUAUCACAUUUUGUUUACAUCAUUUAUUUCUUGAUAGAAAAUGAAGGAGAGAAUUGUUGCUCGGUUCAUUUCUUCAUUGCCAAGCAAGAGCUAUGCAAAUUACAUUACC
rnacentral:lncRNA from 1 species